UUAAGUUCAGCGGGUAACCCUACCUGAUCCGAGGUCAAACCAUAGAAAGAUAAAUAGGCUUGACGGCAGGCCUCCGCCGGGACCCGAUGCGAGACUAGACGCUACUACGCAUGGGGCGCCGCGGCGGGACCGCCACUUCAUUUCGGGGCCUACGUUUUACCGUAGUGCCCCAACACCGAUCCACUAGAGAUUAGCGGCUC
rnacentral:misc_RNA from 1 species